UCAUCUCCAUUAAAGCUGCCAGAUGUUUUCAAACGGAAGAAAAUGGAUGUUUGCAGAGAAGAAUAAGUGCUUUAUGCAUAAAUAAAGAUAAGAUGCCAGUCGACAGAACUUCCUUCAUUUCCUUCUGUUGUUGCGGUUUGGGAGAAGAGGCUCCACAGACCAGCUUAAGAGCAGAAGGGCUAAAAGGUGAAAAUCACGCUCGGCUGAACUUCAGGCCCGAUCAAAAAGAAUGCGACCCAGGUUUGGAGACGCAGCGGAGCUUAUCAGGCCAAAUGUGAGGCUUUGCAAGAGAAGAUCCCAGGAACCCUGUAGCUUCAGGUGCAGCAUCGUCGGCGUGAGGAGAAGUAUGUUUGAGGACUUUUGUGGACUGAAGAUAACUGCCUGCGUACAGCAGAGCAAAUCGGGAGUUAAUUCCAGUGAAAAUCAAACUAAACCUUGACAGCUGGAAAAUAUGGCAAGAAAAGAGGAAAGGAAAACAACUGGAGAGGAAUGAAAAGGGAAAUAAAGAGGAAGGUCCAGUAACCACAGCGUCUCCAGAGCUUCACUUAGCUGUGAUCAAUAUUGACGUUGUCAUUAAGCAGCUCUGCUGUGAU